AGGGCACCACCAGGAGUGGAGCCUGCGGCUUAAUUUGACUCAACACGGGAAAACUCACCCGGCCCGGACACUGGAAGGAUUGACAGAUUGAGAGCUCUUUCUUGAUUCAGUGGGUGGUGGUGCAUGGCCGUUCUUAGUUGGUGGAGUGAUUUGUCUGGUUAGUUCCGAUAACGAACGAGACUCUAGCCUACUAAAUAGAUCGUCGGCUUACAAACGCCGGCGAGACUUCUUAGAGGGACAGGCGGUGAUUCAACCGCACGAAACAGAGCAAUAACAGGUCUGUGAUGCCCUUAGAUGUCCGGGGCCGCACGCGCGCUACACUGAAGUGAUCAGCGUGCUUUUUCAACCUACUCUGUCAAGAGUGGGGAACCCAAUGAACCUUCUUCGUGAUUGGGAUAGGGGAUUGUAAUUAUUCCCCUUGAACGAGGAAUUCCCAGUAAGCGCGAGUCAUAAGCUCGCGUUGAUUACGUCCCUGCCCUUUGUACACACCGCACGUCGCUACUACCGAUUGAAUGUUUU
rnacentral:rRNA from 1 species